GACGAACCGAGCGAACGUUGUUCGGAAUAACUGGGCUUAAAGGGCGCGUAGGCGGGCUGUCAAGUCUGGGGUGAAAUCCCGCGGCUCAACCGUGGAACUGCCUCAGAUACUGACGGUCUCGAGGGAGGUAGGGGCGAGCGGAACUGUGAGUGGAGCGGUGAAAUGCGUUGAUAUCAUCAGGAACACCGGAGGCGAAAGCGGCCCACUGGGUCUUUUCUGACGCUGAGGGACGAAAGCUAGGGGAGCGAACGGG
rnacentral:rRNA from 1 species